GAUGAACGCUGGCGGCGUGCCUAAUACAUGCAAGUAGAACGCUGAAGGAAGGAGCUUGCUCUUUCCGGACGAGUUGCGAACGGGUGAGUAACGCGUAGGUAACCUGCCUGGUAGCGGGGGAUAACUAUUGGAAACGAUAGCUAAUACCGCAUAACAGUAGAUGUUGCAUGAUAUCUACUUAAAAGGUGCAAUUGCACCACUACCAGAUGGACCUGCGCUGUAUUAGCUAGUUGGUGAGGUAACGGCUCACCAAGGCGACGAUACAUAGCCGACCUGAGAGGGGGAUCGGCCACACUGGGACUGGGACACGGCCCAGACUCCUACGGGAGGCAGCAGUAGGGAAUCUUCGGCAAUGGACGGAAGUCUGACCGAGCAACGCCGCGGGAGUGAAGAAGGUUUUCGGAUCGUAAAGCUCUGUUGUAAGAGAAGAACGAGUGUGAGAGUGGAAAGUUCACACUGUGACGGUAUCUUACCAGAAAGGGACGGCUAACUACGUG
rnacentral:rRNA from 1 species